UACGUAGGGUGCAAGCGUUAAUCGGAAUUACUGGGCGUAAAGCGCACGUAGGCGGAUCUUUAAGUCAGAGGUGAAAUCCCAAGGCUCAACCUUGGAACUGCCUUUGAUACUGGGGAUCUUGAGUCCGGGAGAGGUGAGUGGAACUGCGAGUGUAGAGGUGAAAUUCGUAGAUAUUCGCAAGAACACCAGUGGCGAAGGCGGCUCUCUGGACCAGCACUGACACUGAGGCACGAAAGCGUGGGGAGCAAACAGG
rnacentral:rRNA from 1 species